UAGGGAAUCUUCCGCAAUGUGCGAAAGCCUGACGGAGCAACGCCGCGUGAGUGAUGAAGGUCUUCGGAUCGUAAAACUCUGUUAUUAGGGAAGAACAAAUGUGUAAGUAACUAUGCACGUCUUGACGGUACCUAAUCAGAAAGCCACGGCUAACUACGUGCCAGCAGCCGCGGUAAUACGUAGGUGGCAAGCGUUAUCCGGAAUUAUUGGGCGUAAAGCGCGCGUAGGCGGUUUUUUAAGUCUGAUGUGAAAGCCCACGGCUCAACCGUGGAGGGUCAUUGGAAACUGGAAAACUUGAGUGCAGAAGAGGAAAGUGGAAUUCCAUGUGUAGCGGUGAAAUGCGCAGAGAUAUGGAGGAACACCAGUGGCGAAGGCGACUUUCUGGUCUGUAACUGACGAUGAUGUGCGAAAGCGUGGGGAUCAAACAGG
rnacentral:rRNA from 1 species